rnacentral:hammerhead_ribozyme from 1 species
GCACUACUGAGGAGUCUCACAAUAGGGCGAAACGGUCGUCUAGUGC